AAAGGUCCCCCUGAACUACUGGAGCCAGCUGUGCUCUUAGGUAGUGGCCUCCCUAGAUGUGAGCCAACACAGAACACAGGACAUGGAAAGACCAGGUCUGUGGAUGCAACUGUGACAAGGACUCCCUGGUCCUCCCCUGAGUCAACUACAGACAGACGGAUGCCGCAGCUCUCAGGGGGAAGCUGGACUCGCCAGAAACGCUAGAGUCCGCGAAGGCAGAAGGCCCCGCUUGAGGUGCGGUGUCCCGGCCCCACCUCCCCCUUCGCAUCCUCCGGGUGGACGUGUCCUGUUGGCCACUGGCACGUGGGGCGUCCGUGGUAACGCGCACACUGGAGCGAGCCCUCAGAUGCCAGUGACCACGCAGACAUCCCUCACGCCUUCCUGCAGGAAGACGGAGCAGGUCUGAGGGCGGUGCCUGGCCAGGCGCUCAAAGGACCUGUGCCUUUUAAACUCCCGUUCCAAGCACAGACGACCGUCACACAAGAUCAGUGGCCCCCACGUCACCGCCAAAUGCUAACGUAGCUUUGGGUUGAAAGAGAUGUGGCCCAUGACAAUGUCGACAGUCUCUAUCAAGCCCAGCACGACGGC